AAGACUAUACUUUUGGGGAUCAUUUCCAUAGUCCAUUACUAGAGAAGUUUCUCUGACUGUGUAGGGGUACCGAAAACCAUGAGAAGGAGGCGCAGUGUUCUCUCCUGAUCGUGAAGCUGGCCAACUCUAGGCGUUGCUUUUCUGCAACUGCUAUUGCCAUUGAUGAUCAUUCUUCUCUUCCUUUUUGGGAGAGUAAGAGGGAGAGGAAGCAGUCUGAGUGGC